CGGUAUAGUUCAGUUGGCAGAACACUUGCUUUGUAAUCAAGAUGUCGGGAGUUCAAAUCUCUCUAUCGG
rnacentral:tRNA from 1 species